rnacentral:rRNA from 1 species
UACAGGGGGUGCAAGCGUUAAUCGGAAUUAUUGGGCGUAAAGGGCUUGUAGGUGGUUUUAUAAGUUAGAUGUGAAAACCCUGGGCUUAACCCGGGACGUGCAUUUAAUACUGUAGAGCUAGAGUAUAGUAGAGGAGUAGGGAAUUCCUGGUGUAGCAGUGAAAUGCGUAGAGAUCAGGAGGAACAUCAGUGGCGAAGGCGCUACUCUGGACUAAUACUGACACUGAGGAGCGAAGGCGUGGGGAGCAAACAGG